AACGCACCUUGCGCCCCUUGGUUAUUCCUCGGGGCAUGCCUGUUUGAGUAUCAUGAACACCUCAACUCUCAUGGUUUUCCAUGAUGAGCUUGGACUUUGGGGGUUUGCUGGCCCUGCGGUCGGCUCCUCUCAAAUGAAUCAGCUUGCCAUUGUUUGGUGGCAUCCCACGGGUGUGAUAACUAUCUACGCUCGCGGUUGUCUGCCAGGUAACCCUCAGCGAUGAAGGUUCAUUGGGGCUCACAAACGUCUCUCCUCGGCGAGGACGACUUUUGAACGUUCGAUCUCAAAUCAGGUAGGACUACCCGCUGAACUUAA
rnacentral:rRNA from 1 species